rnacentral:rRNA from 1 species
UGGGGGAUAUUGCACAAUGGAGGAAACUCUGAUGCAGCAACGCCGCGUGAGGGAAGAAGGUCUUCGGAUUGUAAACCUUUGUCCUUGGUGACGAUAAUGACGGUACCAAAGGAGGAAGCCACGGCUAACUACGUGCCAGCAGCCGCGGUAAUACGUAGGUGGCGAGCGUUGUCCGGAUUUACUGGGCGUAAAGGAUGCGUAGGCGGAUAUUAAGUGAGAUGUGAAAUACCCGAGCUUAACUUGGGUGCUGCAUUUCAAACUGGAUAUCUAGAGUGCGGGAGAGGAGAAUGGAAUUCCUAGUGUAGCGGUGAAAUGCGUAGAGAUUAGGAAGAACACCAGUGGCGAAGGCGAUUCUCUGGACCGUAACUGACGCUGAGGCAUGAAAGCGUGGGUAGCAAACAGG